AAAGCAGAUUUUCUCCUCCUGCAUACCUUAUAAAGUCUAUAUUUAGAAGUAAAAUUUGGGAUUAAACACACCGGAACCAACUUUUCGCUGGACAUUGUUAUAAUCCGAAUUUUUGGGUGAAACAAACAGAUUUAACGGGGAGUCGCUCUCCGGGCUAACUGCCGAUGUGAAGCUAGCUAACUGGAGAAGACGGUUGGAGUAACUUUCGGAAAUAAGGAGUAAAUAUGACAAAAAAGAGGGACAACACGGUGAAAGUGGACAAACAAAGCUACCCAGACUGACACACAAAACUGGAAUGGAAAAGAACAAACUGAUGCCUGAGGGUGGAGCUGUUGUAUCAGGAGACGGAUGAAGCACAGUUCUGGCCUGAUAGUUCCUGUACUCGGGCGACCGGCUGAUACUCGUGGCAUGCAGCAUUAAGACCUCAAAGGCUUCAAAGAGUCCAAGUCCCCCCCAGCACCACCUACAUCCAGUACAGAAAACUCUGACCAGACUCCAGAAGAAAAGGCUCCAAAAAUAUUCCAUUACUUGGACUCUUUAUAUUUGUUCAAUUUAAAAAUUCGGUAAAAUGUAUA